rnacentral:misc_RNA from 1 species
AAUUUUCUUUUUUUUUUUUUAUACAUGAAAUUGAAAUUAUAUCCAUUCUGAGACGGCAAAUGCAUCAUAAUUACAACAGGAUCGCGACAGACUUCAGAAUUGGACUUUUAUUCACUUACUACACUGAAAUCAAGGAAAAUGGAAACUAAAAACAAGAAUUAAAUUAACAAGAAAAGAAAAACAGAGUAGUAAAUUAGGAGAGGAUGAAGAAGAAGAAGAAGAAG